rnacentral:rRNA from 1 species
GAUGAACGCUAGCGGCAGGCCUAAUACAUGCAAGUCGAACGAUAGUCUUGUCUUCGGAUGAGAUGAGAGUGGCGCACGGGUGAGUAACGCGUACACGACCUACCUUACAGAGGGGGAUAGCCUUGGGAAACUGGGAGUAAUCCGCCAUAGUGUAUAUGAUCUGCAUGGAUGGUAUACUAAAGCUUCGGCGCUGUAAGAUGGGUGUGCGUCUGAUUAGGUAGUUGGUAGGGUAACGGCCUACCAAGCCAACGAUCAGUAGGGGGCGUGAGAGCGUGGUCCCCCACACGGGUACUGAGACACGGACCCGACUCCUACGGGAGGCAGCAGUAAGGAAUAUUCCACAAUAGGGGGAAACCCGUACGAUGGAGCAAUGCCGCGUGCAGGAUGAAGCGUUUCGGCGUGUAAACUGCUUUUAAACGGGAAGAUUAUGACGGUACCGUUAGAAUAAGGACCGGCUAAUUACGUG